UACGUAGGGGGCAAGCGUUGUCCGGAUUCAUUGGGCGUAAAGAGCGUGUAGGCGGCCAGGUAGGUCGGUUGUGAAAACUGGAGGCUCAACCUUCAGAGGUCGACCGAAACCAUCUGGCUAGAGUCCGGGAGAGGAGAGUGGAAUUCCUGGUGUAGCGGUGAAAUGCGCAGAUAUCAGGAAGAACACCCGUGGCGAAAGCGGCUCUCUGGAACGGUACUGACGCUGAGACGCGAAAAGCGUGGGGGAGCAAACAGG
rnacentral:rRNA from 1 species